rnacentral:lncRNA from 1 species
GGUGAGUCUCGACUAGAUGACAGAUCAUGGAUAAAUUGUCAAACCUCAUCAUCAGUCAUAUAAUAGAUUUGAUCAGCUCAAGUUCAAUUGUGAUUCUUAUGAAAACUCUUUUUCAUCAAUCACAUUGCUGUGGCCAUAGAUUCUCAGACUUAGCCUCUUAAAUCUCAUAGAACUACUCCUCUCUAUCAAAAUCGAUAGAUUUC